ACACCUUUUUUUAUAACUCAGACCACUCUUGUGUGCAUCUCAAAAUGUAUUUACAAAGUACAAAAGUAUCCUAAUUUUAUGCUAUUUUAAAGUAGUUACAGGUUACUCAGUUAUCUUUCAAUGUGAGAAAAUUGGGGCAUAAAAUCUAAACUGCUUUUGAAAAAGAGGUUGCCUAAAACUGGUCUCCAAUGUCUGGCAUUAAAUUUGUUCAACCACACUGUUUAAAUAUUAGUCUCUGCUUGACAUAAGUACAAAACCAGAAUGGCACCCAGACAAGAUGCACGAGAGGACACAGCUCUGAGUACACAGGGAGUGAGCACACCAGGCUGUCCUCUGGCCCUAUGUUUUACUGCAACAGCUUACAUGUCAAAAUUGCCUUGCCAGAACACAGAACUAAGCCUGUGUUUUAGCAACCUGAAAUUUGAGAGUGCUAAUAGGAGACGAAGAACAAUACUAUGUCAUGGGUUCAGAACUCCAAACAAGAUUAUAUGAUGAAAUUAGGGUUUGACAUAAAUCAAAAUUUUAAGGCUCUUCCUGGUAACCUCCUUAAUUUUAAGGCUCAGAAAGCUUAACAUCUUUGCUUCCAGUCAUCCGCAUGGCCCAAAUCACAAGAGAGGUCCAGCCAUCAGCAGGAUGUGCACCAUCAUCUGCAGGAGCGAGCUGGCUUUUCUCACAAGAAAGGCACAAACACGAUUGCCAAUCUCUUGGGAACAGCAGCUUCAGUGACCAAAUGCCUUAAAGGCAGAGGUGGAAAUUCAUUUCAGAAGAGAAAUCAGGAUGGCAGUGAUCACAGGCAACCUGACUCUUAUUCAAGGUAUUAUUUCAGUUUGCUUUGUUAAUUUGGAAAGGAUUUGCCUACUUUGGGCAAAAG